rnacentral:rRNA from 1 species
UACCAGCACCCCCGAGUGGUCGGGACGUUUUAUUGGGCCUAAAGCAUCCGUAGCCGGUUCUACAAGUCUUCCGUUAAAUCCAGCUGCUUAACAGAUGGGCUGCGGAAGAUACUAUGGAGCUAGGAGGCGGGAGAGGCAAGCGGUACUCGAUGGGUAGGGGUAAAAUCCGUUGAUCCAUUGAAGACCACCAGUGGCGAAGGCGGCUUGCCAGAACGCGCUCGACGGUGAGGGAUGAAAGCUGGGGGGAGCAAACCGG